CUUCUUUCCUUUAGGGAGCCGGGCAGGGGAGGUGGCUGUGACAGGCUCAAGCCAUGCAGGGGCAGAGAAAGCAACAAAUAUUUACAUCAACUCGAUGAGGAAGGUUGGGUGACGUCAAGACCCAGUAGGAUGGGAAGAAGGAACAUGCGAGAGAGGGGGAAUGACGGCACAGAUGGAAGGUUGGCCGUGGCAGGUGGCGCGGGGCACGCGGUGGAGGGAGGGCUCCGACCUCUGGGACCGUGAAGCCCCAGCCCCUCCCACUACACACUCGGACUCCCUUUGUAGAGGGUAGAGGUGAGCUUUUUCCCUGACAGCUGCUGAGCUGCUGUCAAAGAUCCCCGUCUUCCCACCUCUGGUCCUUGUCCUACCUUCCAACUGCCACUUGUGUUUCUAUGACUCCUCAGAGCCACUCAAGAAAAUGUGCUGUGGCCUCUUACAGACUUCCUCCCACCUCCUGCGCCUCUCCACCGAUGAAACACAGGCCGUGCUGCCCCACUGGGACCAGAGUUUGUCCACACAGAAGAUGUGACCUCAUGGAGGAUGCUGUGACAAGGAAACCUGUCACCACACAGGGCUUCAGUUCACCUCCCAUCCCCCACUUUCCCCCCUUCUCUAGCCUUACCAUAUGUGGUGUCCCCAGAAAGUCACCCUAUCCUCACCUCUCUGUGCCCCUGCACCUGUUUCCACCGCCUGGAAUGCCUUACCUCCAACCCCCAGUUCUCUGCCUCAUUCCCCUCCCUCCAAAGUCUGGUCAAGCAAGCAUGCUUUCUCUUCGCAAGGCCUUCCUGACCAUGCCCUCUCUGCUGCCCCCCUUUCGUGCCAGGUUCACCAGAUCACCAGCUGACAUGUGUAUCUCAGAGCAUUCACCAUGCGUGCCGAACCCUGGCACUUGGGGAGAAGCCUGGGUCUCACCUGCGUGCCCUCAUCACACAGUGCCACAGCUUCCCACUAGGGAAGGUCCCAUACGACUGACCGUUGCUUAAGACACUGGGCAAGACAGACUGGGCUUGCCGGAGAGAGAAGAGUAGGGUGCUGGCAAGGACUGAUCAAGUUCAUCAGGAAAAAAAUGGGUAGACUUUUAAGGAUAGGCUGGCUUAAUGUUGCAAACCUCUGGCUUAAAACAACAAAGGUUGGUUUCUCAUCAGAGGUAUGUGUCCCAUAUGGGCCAGCAGGGGGCUCUGCUCAUGACAGUCACUCAGGGGACCCAGAGGGAGCAGACACCAAGUCUAACAGAAUCAGGGUCAGAGGGCAGGCGGUGGGGGUGGGGUUCUUGCAUCAGCAAUGAAAGGCUUCGGUUGGCCCCACCUCGUCAGAGGAUGCCAAGAACAAUUCUCCCACAUGCCAGGCAGGCUGUGAAUCCAGAACGGAGAGCCAGAGAGGGUCUUGGAACAUUUCUCCUGGUUCUGCAGUGAACCAGCAGGGCAGGGCCUCCGGGGCAGGCCCGGCAGCAGUGCCUCUGGCUGCGGGGUUAUCAGCAGGUGUAUCUAUCUGAGCACCCAGGCGGUUCUCAGCUGGGCUCCUGUUCUGGUGUCACUGUGCUAGGGGUGGGACUGCCAGAGGAAACCACCAGGUGUGGCCAUGGGAAAGUCCCUGCAACAUUCUAUAGAAACAUGGAAUUUCCUGGUUUUAACCAUUUCUUAUCCAACUGCCAUCUUGGAGUCGACCAGAACGUUGCAGACCUCUCCAGUCUCCUAGGAAAUUUGAUGGAGGGCAUUGAAUCUUGACUGGGACAUUGACACACCUAUGUUCCAGCACCAGCAGUGUCUGAAGAUCGUGGGCAAAUUUGUAAAGGUGUGUGGGCUUCAAUGCCUUUGAAGUUGGUAAAGCGCUUUCCAGUUUCCCUGGCAUUUGUAUACCUAUUGUUCCGAGCGAGCAGUCGUCCACACAACCAAUGGAGUAAAUGUUACUAACCUUGAAUGAAGAAACCAGGAAGGGAUGUGGGCUGUGCUCGAGGUCACCCUGGAGGGCAUAACAUGGGUUCCAGUGUUUGCUCUUGGGCCUCUGCAGGCUCACUGGGAAGAUGAGUCAGACCCGACUUCUGGAGUGGCUAGGCACAGGUCCUAGACCUCCCUGGGGCUCCGGGGUGUGGGGACUCUGUCUUCGCAGGCUAACUUGCCCAACCGGCUCCGUGGACUCUGGGCCGGGUCCUGGAGCUCCCUGCUCCCGCAAAUGGCACAUGCCCAGAGGGCACCCUGCGGCCACCACCACUGCCCAGCCUAAGUUUCAGGCCUCUCUGUGCCUCAGACUCCGGUCCCGCCACCUCCACUUGGGAGCUCAGAGCAUCCUUUCCCCUUCCUGCUGGGGGUGGCUGCAGCCCAGCUGCCUCUGUCCCUUUAAGAGAGAGAAAGAACCAAAUCAGGAAGUGUGAGAGAGCAGGGCCGGCUGGCUCGGAGCUGAGCAGUGUCCCCUUGCAGGGAGCUGGUGAGGACACUAUCUGCCCCCCACCCACGCCCCCACCCUCCCAGCUCCAGGGGUGGCGCAAGGCCCCCCCACCCCCACAGCUGGCCCUGCCUCGGGGGUCCCCGGGGGGGGGGCCGUGGCCACCAGGAUGUUAUGCGCACAGCCUGUGGAUGACAGUGCAUGCUGAAAGCUCAGUGGGUGCCACGCUCUUCCACAAGCCUACAAACCACCACCGCAGCUGAGAUGGGCUCAGCUCCUGGACUUGCCACAGACAGUAAACAUAACAGACGCUCACCCCGGAGAGUCUCUGGCUGAUCCACAGCGGCUCAGAGCACUGGGCAGAAGGCGGCCAGCCAGCCGGGGGCAGGAGAUGCAGAGCACUGUCAAUUACCUAUGGCACACCGACGACCUGCUGGGGCAGGGGGCCACUGCCAGUGUGUACAAGGCCCGAAACAAGAAAUCCGGGGAGCUGGUUGCCGUGAAGGUCUUCAACACCGCCAGCUACCUGCGACCCCGCGAGGUGCAGGUGAGGGAGUUUGAUGUCCUGCGAAAGCUGAACCACCAGAACAUCGUCAAGCUCUUUGCGGUGGAGGAGACGGUGGGUCCAGUGCUUGGUCAGAGGGAGGUGGUCUUGUCCUUGACCCACACAGGCUGGAAAGACUCAGGUCACAGAAUCAUGGAGACGUGGUCACAUGCUUGUCAGCAGGGGGGCAGCCGGCAGAAGGUGCUGGUGAUGGAGUACUGCUCUGGUGGGAGCCUGCUGAGCGUGCUCGAAAGCCCCGAGAACGCCUUCGGGCUGCCGGAGGAUGAGUUUCUGGUGGUGCUGCGCUGUGUGGUGGCCGGCAUGAACCACCUGCGGGAAAACAGCAUUGUCCACCGUGACAUCAAGCCUGGAAACAUCAUGCGCCUCAUGGGGGAGGAGGGGCAGAGCAUCUAUAAGCUGACGGACUUCGGGGCCGCCCGGGAGCUGGAUGACGAUGAGAAGUUUGUCUCUGUCUAUGGCACUGAGGAGUACCUGCACCCUGACAUGUAUGAACGGGCAGUGCUUCGCAAGCCCCAGCAGAAGACAUUUGGGGUGACCGUGGAUCUCUGGAGCAUUGGGGUAACCCUGUACCACGCAGCCACCGGCAGCCUGCCCUUCGUCCCCUUCGGUGGACCACGGCGCAACAAGGAGAUGAUGUACCGGAUCACCACGGAGAAGCCGGCCGGGGCCAUCGCAGGCACUCAGAGGCGGGAGAACGGGCCCCUGGAGUGGAGUUACACCCUCCCCAUCACCUGCCGGCUGUCCAUGGGGCUGCAGAGCCAGCUGGUGCCCAUCCUGGCCAACAUCCUGGAGGUGGAGCAGGCCAAGUGCUGGGGCUUCGACCAGUUCUUUGCAGAGACCAGUGACAUCCUGCAGCGAGUUGUUGUCCAUGUCUUCUCCCUGUCCCAGGCGGUCCUGCACCACGUCUACAUCCACGCCCACAACACGGUAGCCAUCUUUCUGGAAGCCGUAUACAAGCAGACCAGUGUGGCCCCCCAGCAUCAGGAGUACAUCUUUGAGGGUCACGUCUGUGUCCUUGAGCCCAGCCUCUCAGCGCAGCACAUCGCCCACACGACAGCAAGCAGCCCCCUGACCCUAUUCAGCAUGGCCAGCGAGACCCCCAAGGGGCUGGCCUUCAGGGACCCCGCUCAGGACAUCCCCAAGUUCUUCCCCAAAGUGGAUCUGCAGGCGGAUUACAGCACUGCCAAGAGCGUGUUGGGCGCUGGCUACCAGGCCCUGUGGCUGGCGCGGGCCCUGCUGGCCGGGCAGGAACUAAUGCUUCGGGGGCUGUACUGGUUCGUGGAGAUGCUCCAGGCCACAUGCAGGCGGACGCUGGAGGUCACGCGGAUGGCCCUCCUGUUCCUCAGCAGCAGCCUGGGCACUGAGAGGUUCAGCAGUGUGGCUGGGAUGCCUGAAAUGCAGGAACUGAAGAGAGUCACAGAGCUGAGGUCCAAGCUGCGGGCUUUGGCUGAGGCCCUCUCCAGAUAUGCCCACGAUAUCACAGAGACCCAGAUGAGCCUAAGCAACCUGAGCUCUGAGCUGAUGAAGAACCGGGAUCAGGUACAUGCGGACAGAAGCAUCCAGCAGAUUCAGUGCUGUUUGGACAAGAUGAACCUCAUCUACAAACAGUUCAAGAAAUCCAGAAUGAGGCCAGGCCUCGGCUACAACGAGGAGCAGAUUCACAAGCUGGAUAAGGUGAAUUUCGGUCAUUUAGCCAAAAGGCUCCUGCAGGUAUUCCAGGAGAAGUGCGUGCAGAAGUACCAGACAUCUCUAGUCACGCACGGCAAGUGGAUGAGGGAGGUGCACGAGACCAGGAUCCACUUGCGUAUGGUCAGCUGUUCUGUGGCUGCCUUUAACACAGAAGCCCAGGGAGCCCAGGAGAGCCUCAGCAAGAUCCUUGACCAGUUAUCUCACCAGCUCCUUCAGGACAGAACAAUGGGGGCUCAGGUCUCAGCACCCCCCACAGCUCCCCACCCCAGCCCUGCACUGACAGACCUGGUUCUGCACAUGCAGGAGCUCUGCGAGGAGGUGAAGCUGCUGGCCUUCGACCUUCAGGACAACAACCGCAUCAUUGAAGGGUUAAGUAGGCCCCCGUCGGCUCCUGACUCCUGAGGCCCGAGCUCCACGGGGUGCACGCCAUCCUGAAGCAUUAGAAUCAUUCAAAGCCCGCUCUCCUGCCUGCAGUGCGGGACCUAACACAGGAUGAUGUCUGGUCCCGUCUCAUCAGCCUACCUCUCUCCCGGCCAACAGCUGGGAGAUGUCACCAGCAUUACCUUCCACUGCCUCUCUGCCGGAAGCAGCACAGUAGGACCUAGGGUGCCAGGCCAUCUCCGACAGGCCCCACUGCCUGGGCUGAACUUUGUGUCUCUCUCACACAGGCUCAGAUCACCCCAGAAAUCUUUCCUGCCCGUCUUCACGAAACCUCCAUGUCCUCAGAGGCUACCCUGCCUAAUGACCCAGCAGGGCAGAAGUGAGGAGACCUGGGUCCUGCAUUCUGAUACCGUCCAUGCUGCUUCUCUAUGGAAAAGACCAGCACCCUCUAAAGACCCAGGGGAGGGGCACCGAGGGGCUGCUUGCAUCAGGCCUAAGUGGCUUCACGUAUGCCAUUUGGGGAGGGUGGCGUCCAUGGGGUCAUCUAUACCCAAUGGGCUCAGAGUCUGGGGCCCCUGGAACCAGCUGCUGCCUCUCCACGGCCCUGGGCCCUGGGCACGCCUGGUCUGCUCUGCCUGCGUGAAGUUCAGGCUGACACUUCUGGCUCAUCAAUGGCCUUGUAGGGAAGUCCCAGCAUGGAUUUUCCCUGGCAGCUGUGGCUGCCUCUGGAUCACAUAUGCUUGGUGGAGCUCAGCAGAAGAGCCAGGGGAUCCCUGAAAGCCAAGUGUGGAUUUUUGAGACAUGAUAUGAUCCAGGCUCUGUGAUCUCAUGAGCAGAGCCCAGCAGAGGACAUGCUCAAAGGCUCCAGUCUGUUCCUGUGCUGGGACGUGGACGCCUCCCCCGAUUUAAACUCCUGCAGAGCUUCUGAUUCUGUGCGAGGAACUGGACCAAGGCCCAGAUUCAGAACGGUGUAAGUUCCUCAGGUGUCUGAAGACCUCUUAAACUCCC